GUGGCGUUUUAGGUAAUCGCUGCAUUACUUUGAUAAUGUAGAGGAAAGUCCAUGCUCGCACAAGCUGAGAUGCUUGUAGUGUUCGUGCCUAGCCAAUUCAUAAGCUAGGGUAGCCUUAUAAGGGCUAACGGCGGGGAAACAACCUAAGUCAUUCGAUAUGGUUGGAAUACUCUGAAAGUGCCACAGUGACGUAGUCUCACUAGAAAUAGUGAGAGUGGAACGCGGUAAACCCCUCGAGCGAGAAACCCAAAUAAUGGUAGGGGCAUCUUCCUAAAGGAACCAAACGGAGGGAAGGACGAAAGCUACGUGCUUUCGUAGAUAAAUGAUUACCACCUGAGUACGAGGCUAUAUAGCCGCUUGCAGUACAACGGAACAGAACAUGGCUUACGAAACGCUAUUAUG
rnacentral:RNase_P_RNA from 1 species